GUGAGGAAUUUUCCGCAAUGGGCGAAAGCCUGACGGAGCAAUGCCGCGUGAAGGAUGAAGGCCUAUGGGUUGUAAACUUCUUUUCUCAGAAAAGAAUUAUGACGGUAUCUGAGGAAUAAGCAUCGGCUAACUCUGUGCCAGCAGCCGCGGUAAGACAGAGGAUGCAAGCGUUAUCCGGAAUGAUUGGGCGUAAAGCGUCUGUAGGUUGUUUAAAAAGUAUUCUGUCAAAGAUUAGGGCUUAACCCUAGAUAGGCAGAAUAAACUUUUAAGCUAGAGUUUGGUAGAGGCAGAGGGAAUUCCCGGUGGAGCGGUGAAAUGCGUAGAUAUCGGGAGGAACACCAAAGGCGAAGGCACUCUGCUAGGCCAAUACUAACACUGAGAGACGAAAGCGAGGGGAGCAAAUGGGAUUAGAUACCCGUGUAGUCC
rnacentral:rRNA from 1 species